rnacentral:rRNA from 1 species
UACGGAAGGCAGCAGUGGGGAAUAUUGCACAAUGGGCGCAAGCCUGAUGCAGCCAUGCCGCGUGUAUGAAAAAGGCCUUCGGGUUGUAAAGUACUUUCAGUCGUGAGGAAGGUGUUAAGGUUAAUAACCUUAGCAAUUGACGUUAGCGACAGAAGAAGCACCGGCUAACUCCGUGCCAGUAGCCGCGGUAAUACGGAGGGUGCGAGCGUUAAUCGGAAUUACUGGGCGUAAAGGGCACGCAGGCGGUUAAUUAAGUUGGAUGUGAAAUCCCCGGGCUUAACCUGGGAAUGGCAUUCAAGACUGGUUAGCUAGAGUCUUGUAGAGGGGGUAGAAUUCCAUGUGUAGCGGUGAAAUGCGUAGAGAUGUGGAGGAAUACCGGUGGCGAAGGCGGCCCCUGGACAAAGACUGACGCUCAUGUGCGAAAGCGUGGGGAGCAAACAGGGAUUAGAUACC